rnacentral:rRNA from 1 species
GACGAACGCUGGCGGCGUGCUUAACACAUGCAAGUCGAACGGAAAGGCCCCUUUUGGGGUACUCGAGUGGCGAACGGGUGGGUAACACGUGAGUAACCUGCCCUUGACUUCGGGAUAACUUCAGGAAACUGGGGCUAAUACCGGAUAGGAAUCCUUGCUGCCUGGUGGGGGUUGGAAAGCUUCGGCGGUUUUGGAUGGACUCGCGGCUGAUCAGCUUGUUGGUGGGGUAGUGGCUUACCAAGGCUUUGACGGGUAGCCGGCCUGGGAGGGCGACCGGCCUCAGUGGGACUGGGAUACGGCCCAGACUCCGACGGGAGGCAGCAGUAGGGAAUGGUGCUAAAUGGGCGGAGGCCUGAGGCAGCACCGCCACGGGCGGGAUGACGGCCUUGGGGUUGUAAUCCGCUUGCAGCAGGGGCGAAGCUUGUGGUGACGGUACCUGCAGAAGAAGCACCGGCUAACUACGUG